ensembl:lncRNA
UGGGGAGGUGGACAGGGCUUCAUAAAGUCACCUCAUCGGGGGACUCUUAUGUGUGGACCUGAGAUGUUUUCUUAAAAAUUAUAGUUGAUUUCAGUGUUGUGCCGUGGUAGUAUUUUGAGUGGAAACAUGUGAAUGGACAUGGGAAGAUGCUCAAAAUUAGUGAGAAAGUGCAGAACAGAAUAUAUGACUCGGUUUUCUCAAUAAAAAAAUUCUGCAUGCAUUUGUAUGUGCAUAGAAGCAGAAUUAGAAGGUACAUACUAGCCUUUUAAGAGUAGCCGUCUCGGAAAUGGGAUUGAAAAUGGCAAGAGUCCUCAGUUUCUGUGUUUUAACAUAGUGGUUUGACGUUUUUACAAUACAAAACACGUUGACUUACAAGUAAUGCGUUGCUUUGCUGAAUUUGAACGUUGCAUGUGUCUUUAAAAAAAUCUGUGACUAGUUUUCGAAUGUUCUGUAACUUUCAUGUCAAAAUUAAAAGCUGCACCAUGGUUCAGACUGAGUAAAGAUGAGAUUCACAGUUUUGCACUUACAAAACCAGGUCAUCCCAUUUCUGCAGAUUUGUGUAAUCACUGCGAGUUAAGCAUAACCUUACUAACAAGAGGGAAAGUCUUCUGAGAAAGAACUAUUAGAAAACCAAGGAACUUUGUUCUGAAGAAGAGGUAGGAGUUUACUCUCUGUUCAGUGGUAAUUGUGAGAAAAAUCAGGCUCACUGUACAGGGACAGAAAAUCAAAGUUUAGAAGGUGCCUCAUCAGUCUUAGGGUGACUGUUAAGACUGCAGACUCUCUGUCUUAACUCUGCAGGUUCUGCAGUUCCCGUCGUGUCGGAUUCGUUUCCACUCCGCCACAACUGGAACUCUGUGUCUAACCUUUAAUCUUAAAAGGUUAAUAGAAAUUUUAUUCUAGUUUGUAAGUCCACAUGUUUUAAUUGGGUAUUCAAAUAGUUUGAACUCUUUGACCCCAGUCUUGCUGGUCUUAUGUAUAUUUUGUGGCUUUGUGGUGGGUUUAGAGAACUGAUUAGGGAACAGCAGUAGUGUGGUGGUGACCUGGUCAGUGGAGGGAUGGAAGAAUUAGGUGGCACGCAGGGCAUGCUGAGGAAAUUGCGGAACUGAGAGCAGUGUGGCAUUGAAGGUCUGGAGCCAGACUGAUUCUUCUCGGCUCCACCCGUGACUGGCUCUGGGACACCUGGCAAAUCACUGAGCCUCUCUGUGUCUUUUCCUCAUCUCUAAAACAGGGAAAUAAUAAUUUCCAGGGAGUUAAUGCGAGGAUUAAAUAACUUCAUUACAUUAACAGUGUGUAGUGUAGUGCCUGGUACAGAUGACGUGCUCUGUCACUGAUCUGUAUUUCGCAGUUCAGUGCAUCAAAUGAUACUGCAUCAAAUCUUGUGAUCAAGGUAGCUUUACUCAAGCUAACCUUACUCAAAUAUCUGUAGAGUUAGUUUCAUUCUGCUAGAGUGCCGUCCUCUGUAUUCGCACUUCCCGUUAAGGUCGCCAGUGGCUGCGUGUGGGUGCUGAGCCCUUGAAAUACGGCUGUGUGAAGGAGGACCUCAGUUUCUUCUGUAAUUAGUUUAAUUAGUCGUGCGGGAGUAGGGCUGCCCGGUUGGGCAGCGCAGGCUUGGAGCAUGACUGCGUCUCUUUGCUUCAUUCAUCUUCUGCUCUGUACAUACUGAUUCCGGAUGGCAAGUACUUCUCACGGGUCCUGUCAUUCCUUCUGGGUGUUACAUUCCCACCAUCAAAAUGCAGUACCAAUUCUAGAUAUCAAAUGUAUCUUUAAUAUGUUUCAGCUUAUAUUAUUCUGAUUCUUGCUCUCGAAUCAUCAAAACAAUAUUUUUGAAAACCUUGAUAGGCGUUCCCGUUGUGGCUCAUUGGUAAUGAACUCAACUAGUGUCCAGGAGGGCGUAGGCUUGAUCCCUGGCCCAGCUCAGUGGGUUAAGGACCCCGUGUUGCCGUGAGCUGCAGUGUAGGUUGUAGACGCAUCUUGGAUCCCACAUUGCAGUGGCCAUGGUCUCCGACAGCUGAAGCUCUGAUUUGACCUCUAGCCUGGGAACUUUCCUAUCCUGCAGGUUCGACCCUUAAAAGAUUUAACAACAACAACAACAACAAAAUCAAAAAAACACACACAGAAGAGGAAGACAACAUUAAUAGCACGUAACAUUGGCGAAGAGAAGAUGGCCGUAUUUUCUGAUUCAUAAUUGUGAGUCCUUUCUUUAGGUUUGUGGACACCAGUCGGAGGGGUCAGGGCUACUUCGUCGUCUUGUUUACAUGCUUAACUUGCAGCAUCUGUCCUUUUAUGAACUGUAUCAAGCAUGGUUUUUUGACACAAACAUAAAGGAGUAAGGAAUACUGUCAUAUCUUUUUUUUUUUUUUUUUGCUUUUUAUGGAGGCACCUGUGGCAUAUGAAAGUUCCCAGGCUAGCGGUUGGAUCGGAGCCGUACCACAGCCACAGCAACACUGGAUCCAGGCCACAUCUGUGACCUACGUGCCGCAGCUCACGGCAAUGCCGGAUCCUUACCCCACGGAGAAAGGCCAGGGGUUGAACUUGCAUCAGAUUCUUAACCUGCCGAGCCACAAUGGGAACAUUUUUUUUAGCCAAACAAGGUGGUGCAGGUUCUUGUCACAGAAUAUUGGGUAAUGCAGUAGUUCAGAAAUAACUGACUGGGUGAGAGUCGUGUAUUUCCUUUUUGGGCUUAUUGGUGCUUGAGUUUGAGAAACUUCAUCUCAGGCAGGUGAUGGCGCUUUGGGCUGGACCAUGCGUGGUGGGUGUUCAGCAGCAUCGUUGCCCUUUCUGCAUUAGUCGCUAGUAAAACGCCCCAGUUGUGGGAACCAACAAAUGUCUCCAGACAUUGCUAGAUGUUCCCUGGGGGACAGACUGGCCUCCGUUGAUCUAGAACUGAGUGCUUCUAGAACCACUGAUCCUGAAUAGCAUCAUCUCAAGGUCAGGCUUUCCUGCCCUGGGGCCAUGAAUUAAGACUCCAACCGCAGGAGUUCCCAUUGUGGCGCAGCAGAAAUGAAUCUGACUAGGAACCAUGAGGUUGCCAGUUCCAUCCCUGGCCUUGCUCAGUGGGUUCAGAAUCUGGCGGUGCUGUG